CUCAUAAUCCCUCUGUUCCGAAUUACUUGUCGCAGGUAUGGAUGUAUCUAGAUGUAUUUUAGUUCUAGAUACAUCCAUUUCUGCACAAGUAAUUUGGAACGGAGGUAGUACAUG
rnacentral:pre_miRNA from 1 species